rfam:Pseudoxanthomonas dokdonensis strain DSM 21858 contig_17, whole genome shotgun sequence.
GUCGGGGAACCACCGGAGAGGUGGCAGAGUGGUUGAAUGUACCUGACUCGAAAUCAGGCAUACGUUAAUAGCGUAUCGGGGGUUCGAAUCCCCCCCUCUCCGCCAGAUACGCAUGAGCCCGCGCAAGCGGGCUUUUGCGUAUCUGGCGGAGAGG